rnacentral:rRNA from 1 species
UACGUAGGGGGCAAGCGUUGUCCGGAAUCAUUGGGCGUAAAGAGCGUGUAGGCGGUCCGGUAAGUCGGCUGUGAAAGUCCAGGGCUCAACCCUGGGAUGCCGGUCGAUACUGCCGGACUAGAGUUCGGAAGAGGCGAGUGGAAUUCCCGGUGUAGCGGUGAAAUGCGCAGAUAUCAGGAGGAACACCGGUGGCGAAAGCGGCGCGCUGGACCUCUUCUGACGCUGAGGCGCGAAAGCUAGGGGAGCAAACGGG